UACAGAGGGUGCAAGCGUUGUUCGGAAUUAUUGGGCGUAAAGCGCGUGUAGGCGGCUUUGCAAGUCGGGUGUGAAAGCCCUCAGCUCAACUGAGGAAGUGCGCCCGAAACUGCAGAGCUUGAGUGCCGGAGAGGGUGGCGGAAUUCCCCAAAGUAGAGGUGAAAUUCGUAGAUAUGGGGAGGAACACCGGUGGCGAAGGCGGCCGACCUGGACGGUAACUGACGCUGAGACGCGAAAGCGUGGGGAGCAAACAGG
rnacentral:rRNA from 1 species